UGGGGAAUUGCUCAGUGGUAGAGCAUGCCUGGCUUCAAUCCCCAAUACCACAUACAUGUAUGAAAAAUCUUAUCGAAGGGUAUAAACCAAGAACUAAAUAAAUGAAAAGAUAUUAAUAAUUCUGGAUAGAAAUUCUUAAUAUCAUUAAUAAUUUUUACCAAAUAUAUCUUUUAAAUUUAUAUAUAUAUAUAUUAGUUGUAGGAGGACACAAUACCUUUAUUUUAUUUUUAUGUGGUGCUGAGGAUCGAACCCAGUGCCUCAC
rnacentral:tRNA from 1 species